UACGGAGGGAGCAAGCGUUAUCCGGAAUUAUUGGGCGUAAAGAGCUCGUAGGCGGUGUGUCGCGUCUGCUGUGAAAACUCAGGGCUCAACUCUGAGCUUGCAGUGGGUACGGGCAUACUAGAGUGCUGUAGGGGAGACUGGAAUUCCUGGUGUAGCGGUGAAAUGCGCAGAUAUCAGGAGGAACACCGGUGGCGAAGGCGGUUCUCUGGGCAUUUACUGACGCUGAUGAGCGAAAGCAUGGGGAGCGAACAGG
rnacentral:rRNA from 1 species